rnacentral:piRNA from 1 species
UAUUUGGCCAAAGGAAGGGUACUAGGA